ensembl:lncRNA
CCCUGCUGCGCCCCUCCCUCCUCUGAGAGGAUCAGGACUGUGAAUGGGUGUAGUGCCUCUGAUAAUUCCUCCACGGGGCAGGAGGAGCAGCAGGUGCCCCGGUCAGUGUCCCGUCACUUCAGGCAACAUAAGAAAGAUUCACCUUCGUCUCCGGCUCUCCUGCACACACAGCUCUCUCUCUCCGUCUCUCUCUCUCUACACUCACCUGUGAGGAUGUCUACCUGUUCUUAGCUCACCUGAAUGGAGCAGCCUCUACCUGAAGUGCGGGAAGGUCCUCACGUUCUGCUGUCUGAUGUUCAGGAUUAAUCAGAAGCUCUGCAGUCAUGGUCAUUCUGCAGCAGGGGGACUAUGUGUGGUUGGACCUGAAGACUGGCCGAGAGUUCGACGUGCCUGUAGGAGCCGUGGUGAAGCUGUGUGACUCGGGUCAGAUCCAGGUUCUGGAUGAUGAAGGAAACGAACACUGGAUCUCCCCCCAGAAUGCCACCAAUAUUAAGCCCAUGCACCCCACCUCCAUCCACGGGGUGGAGGACAUGAUUCGGCUGGGGGAUCUGAACGAGGCGGGGAUUCUCCGUAACCUGCUGAUCCGCUAUAGAGAACACCUCAUAUAUACGUACACAGGGUCAAUCCUGGUGGCGGUAAACCCGUACCAGCUGCUGCCCAUCUACACAGCAGACCAGAUCCGCCUGUACACCAACAAGAAGAUCGGAGAGAUGCCCCCUCACAUCUUCGCCAUCGCCGACAACUGCUACUUCAACAUGCAGAGGAACAACAAGGACCAGUGCUGCAUCAUCAGUGGUGAGUCCGGAGCGGGGAAGACUGAGAGCACCAAGCUGAUCCUGCAGUUUCUGGCGGCCAUCAGCGGUCAGCACUCCUGGAUUGAGCAGCAAGUGCUGGAGGCCAAUCCCAUACUGGAGGCCUUCGGGAAUGCCAAGACCAUCCGGAAUGACAACUCCAGCCGAUUUGGGAAAUACAUAGACAUCCACUUCAACAAGAGAGGGGCAAUAGAGGGAGCAAAAAUCGAGCAGUACCUGCUGGAGAAGUCCAGAGUGUGUCGACAGGCCAGAGAUGAGAGGAAUUAUCAUAUCUUCUACUGCAUGCUGAAGGGGAUGACUUCAGAUCAGAAGAAGAAACUUGGCCUGGGAAAAGCCACAGACUACACCUACCUCACUAUUGGAAACUGCACGGUGUGUGAUGGUCGGGAUGAUCAGAAGGAAUACUCCAACAUUCGCUCAGCCAUGAAGGUGCUCAUGUUCACGGAUACGGAGAACUGGGAGAUCUCCAAACUGCUGGCCUCCAUCCUGCACAUGGGAAAUCUCCACUAUGAAGGUGAGACACACUGUCGAGACUGUGACAAGCUGCCGGUGCUCAGAGGGAGGGAGACGGUGUCCACUCCGCUCAGUAUGGAGCAGGCCCUGGAUGUGCGAGAUGCCUUCGUAAAGGGAAUAUAUGGGCGCUUGUUUGUCUGGAUUGUUGAGAAGAUUAAUGCAGCAAUCUUCAAGCCUACAUCCCAUGAUCUUAAAGCUGUACGCAGAUCCAUCGGCCUCCUGGACAUCUUCGGCUUUGAGAACUUUACUGUCAACAGUUUUGAGCAGCUGUGUAUCAACUUUGCCAACGAGAACCUGCAGCAGUUCUUCGUCCGCCACGUCUUUAAGCUGGAGCAGGAGGAGUAUAACCUGGAGAACAUCAACUGGCAGCACAUCGAGUUCACCGACAACCAGGACGCCCUGGACAUGAUCGCCAUCAAACCCAUGAACAUCAUCUCCCUCAUCGACGAGGAGAGCAAGUUCCCCAAGGGAACAGACACCACCAUGCUGAACAAGCUCAACUCCCAACACAAGCUCAACACCAACUACAUCCCUCCCAAAAACAACUACGAGACUCAGUUUGGGAUCCAGCACUUUGCAGGAAUCGUUUAUUACGAGACGAGAGGUUUUCUGGAGAAGAACAGAGACACUCUUCACGGUGAUAUCAUCCAGCUGGUUCACUCUUCAAAGAACAAGUUCAUCAAGCAGAUCUUCCAGGCGGAUGUGGCCAUGGUAAUGCUUCCUGAUCUGAGAAUUUAUAUAUUUUAUUUGUUUAAAGUGAGCCGAAAGAACCUGGUUUACAUUAGCACUAGUCCCCGCAGACUAACUCUGUAUAAUAUGUUCAUCUGCUUGCAGUUGUUUGACAGGGAGCUGUGUGUCCGGCAGCUCCGCUACUCUGGAAUGAUGGAGACGAUCCGGAUCCGCCGGGCUGGAUACCCCAUUCGCUACACCUUUGUGGAGUUUGUGGAUCGUUAUCGUGUCCUUAUGCCUGGAGUAAAGCCUGCAUACAAACAGGUGAACGAAGACUCACUUUGUUGCAUUAACUUAAAGUGCUGUGUUUUAAUAAGCACACAGGCACAUUUUUAUAUUAUAUAUAUUAUGUGUGUAAAUGAUUUUUUAACUUUCUGCUCUUCCUCUCAGUACCGGAGGCGUCUGGAGGCGGAGAAGAUGCGUCUGGCUGAGGAGGAGAAGCUGAGGAACCAGAUGAGCGCCAAGCGAGCCAAAGCCGAGGCUGAGCGUAAGCAUCAGGAGCGCCUGGCCCAGCUGGCUAAAGAGGACGCAGAGCGGGAGAAGAAGGAGAAGGAGGAGGCUCGCAAGAAGAAGGAGAUGCUGGAUCAGAUGGAGAAAGCUCGUCAGGAGCCCGUUAACGACUCGGAUAUGGUGGAUAAAAUGUUUGGAUUCCUGGGGACCACCAACUCCUUUCCGGGUCAGGAGGGCCAGGCGCCGGCCGGGUUCGAGGACCUGGAGCGGACUAAGAGGGAGCUGGAGGAAGAAGAUCUGGAUGAAGCUCUUCCUCUGCCUGAGGAAGAUGAGGAAGACCUUUCUGAAUAUAAAUUUGCCAAGUUUGCAGCCACGUACUUCCAGGGCACAAGCACUCACACGUACAUGCGCCGUCCACUCAAACAGCCGCUGCUGUUCCACGAGGACGAGGGGGAUCAGCUGGCAGCGCUGGCGGUGUGGAUCACAGUCCUUCGUUUUAUGGGAGACCUUCCAGAACCCAAAUACCACACAGCCAUCAGCGACGGCAGCGAGAAAAUCCCUGUGAUGACGAAGAUUUACGAGACGCUGGGCAAGAAAACCUACAAGCGAGAGCUGCAGGCGCUGCAGGGGGAGGGAGAGUAUUACUCUCUUGUUGUUUUGCUCAACAGAGAUGAGAUCUACUGUCAGAUCUGUAAGCAGCUGACUCAGAACCCGUCUAAAAGCAGCCACGCCCGAGGCUGGAUCCUCAUGUCCCUGUGUGUGGGCUGCUUCGCCCCGUCUGAGAAGUUUGUGAAGUAUCUGAGGAACUUCAUCAGUGAAGGUCCUCCAGGCUACGCUCCUUACUGUGAGGAAAGGCUCAGGAGGACGUUUGUGAACGGCACCAGAACCCAGCCCCCCUCCUGGCUCGAGCUGCAGGUACAACCUGAAGAAGUUGAUUGUUUGAAUAACAUAGUCAGAUUAUUGGUAUCAGUUCAGCUUGGUGUGAUGGUUUGUGUUCAGGUGUCUUCUCUGGGCAGUGGAAGUGAUCAUGUGAUGGACGCCGUGUCUCAGUGUGAGCAGUAUGCUAAAGAGCAGGGGGCUCAGGAGCGUAACGCCCCCUGGAGGCUGUUCUUCAGGAAGGAGAUCUUCACGCCCUGGCACGACCCCACUGAGGACGGGGUGGCCACCAACCUCAUCUACCAGCAGAUCGUCCGCGGGGUGAAGUUCGGGGAGUACCGCUGUGACCGGGAUGAUCUAUCAGAGCUGGCGUCUCAGCAGUAUUAUGUGGACUAUGGAUCGGAGAUCCUGGUGGAACGUCUCCUCAGCCUCAUUCCUUCAUACAUCCCUGACCGAGAAAUCAGCUCCGCCAAGACGGUGGAGAAAUGGGCCCACUUCAUCAUGGCUGCCCAUAAAAAGGGUGUUUACACACAGAAGCGAGUGGACCCUCAGAAGGUGAAAGAAGAAGUGGUGGAAUUCGCUCGAUACAAGUGGCCUUUGUUGUUCUCUAGGUUCUAUGAAGCCUUUAAAUUUUCAGGACCCAGCUUGCCUAAGAAUGAUGUGAUUGUAGCUGUGAACUGGACUGGAGUCUAUUUUGUUGAUGAACAAGAGCAGGUUCUUCUGGAACUCUCUUUCCCAGAGAUCACUGCGGUUUCCAGCAGCAGGUAUGAAAAGAACACAGUUUUAACCCUCUUCACCCUGGCCACUGUUAAAGCAGAUGAGUACACCUUCACCUCCAACAACGCAGAGGACAUCCGAGACCUGGUCGUCACGUUCCUGGAGGGCCUAAGGAAGAGAUCCAAGUUUGUGGUGGCGCUGCAGGACAACCCCAUUGGUGAUGACUCUACGUUCUUGAGCUUCAUUAAGGGAGAUCUCAUCCUGCUGGAUCAGGACACAGGUGAGCAGGUCCUGAACUCAGGCUGGGCUCAUGGGAUCAAUGAGAGGACCAAACAGAGAGGAGACUUUCCAGCUGACUGUGUCUACGUCCUGCCUACCGUCACCAGACCUCAGCCUGAUGCUCUGGUUACUAUGACGCCAGACCAGCGUCAGGAGUCCAUUCGCGUGGCGCAUGUGCCCCUGCCCGAGAGCGUGGAGCGGGUGAAGCCGUACACACUGGAGGAGUUCUCCUACGACUACUUCAGACCGCCUCCUAAACACACCCUGAGCCGCGUAAUGAUCACGAAGAACCGGGGGAAGGAUAAGCUGUGGUGCUGCACGCGGGAGCCCAUUAAACAAGCUCUGCUGAAGAAGGUUCUGGCCCAUGAGGAGCUGUCCCAGGAAGCCUGCAUGGCAUUCAUUGAUAUCCUUUUGCAUUACUAUAUGGGCGACUAUCCAUCCAAACGAACGCGUUCUGUAAAUGAACUGACGGAUCAGAUCUUUGAGGGAGCUCUGAAGGCCGAGCCGCUGAAAGACGAGAUUUACUCCCAGAUUCUCAAACAGCUCACAGAGAAUCACGUCAAGUACAGUGAAGAGAAGGGCUGGGAGCUGCUCUGGUUGUGUACUGGACUCUUUCCACCCAGUAAUGUCCUCCUACCCCACGUCCAGAGAUUCCUGCAGUCCAAGAAACACCAUCCACUCGCACUGGACUGCCUUCAGAGACUACAGAAAGCCCUGCGGAACGGCUCCAGGAAGUAUCCCCCCCACCUGGUGGAAGUGGAAGCGAUCCAACACAAGACGACUCAAAUCUUUCACAAAGUGUACUUCCCCGACGACACAGACGAGGCUUUCGAGGUGGAGUCCAGUACCAAGGCUAAGGACUUUUGUCUGAACAUCUCCGGCCGCCUGCUGCUGAAAUCUCCUGAUGGUUUCAGCCUGUUUGUAAAGAUUUCCGAUAAGGUGAUCAGCGUUCCAGAAGGUGAUUUCUUCUUCGACUUUGUCAGACAUCUCACCGACUGGAUCAAGAAAGCCAGACCUGCUAAAGAUGGAAUUGUGCCUUCAUUGACCUAUCAGGUGUUCUUUAUGAAGAAGUUGUGGACGAACACGGUCCCAGGAAAAGAUUCUUUUGCUGACUCAAUCUUCCAUUAUUACCAGGAGCUUCCUAAGUAUCUUCGGGGCUACCACAAGUGCUCCAGAGACGAGGUCUUCCAGCUGGCAGCUCUGAUUUACAGAGUCAAAUUUGAAGAUGACAAAUCCUACUUUCCCAGCAUCCCGAAAAUGCUGAAAGAGCUGAUUCCUCAGGAUCUGAUCCGCCAGCUCUCGCCUGACGACUGGAAACGGUCGGUUGUGGCGUACUUCAACAAACAUGCCGGGAAGUCGAGGGAGGAGGCCAAGCUGCUGUUUCUGAAGAUCAUCUUUAAGUGGCCAACGUUUGGCUCUGCCUUCUUUGAAGUGAAGGUAACUUUCACUUACUCUACGAUUCAAACAACUAAGUUGCACAAACUCAGUUGCACACACAAAAUUUGUGACAUUUUAACGACUCAUCCCUUCACAAAAAUCUCCAACUGGAGCAGUGGAAACACCUACUUCCACAUCACCAUCGGAAACCUGGUGCGAGGGAGCAAGCUACUGUGGGGGCUAAUAAUAUCGUCCUCAACUGUAUUGUGGUCUAAAACCAGGUUUCAGUUUCAUUGUCCAACCCCUCUGAAUGUAUUACACACAGAGUGA